GCCGUAAACGAUGUCUACUAGCUGUUCGUGACCUUGUGUUGUGAGUAGCGCAGCUAACGCACUAAGUAGACCGCCUGGGGAGUACGGUCGCAAGAUUAAAACUCAAAUGAAUUGACGGGGGCCCGCACAAGCGGUGGAGCAUGUGGUUUAAUUCGACGCAACGCGAAGAACCUUACCUACUCUUGACAUCUACGGAAGACUGCAGAGAUGCGGUUGUGCCUUCGGGAACCGUAAGACAGGUGCUGCAUGGCUGUCGUCAGCUCGUGUUGUGAAAUGUUGGGUUAAGUCCCGCAACGAGCGCAACCCCUAUCCUUAGUUGCCAGCGAUUCGGUCGGGAACUCUAGGGAGACUGCCGGUGAUAAACCGGAGGAAGGUGGGGACGACGUCAAGUCAUCAUGGCCCUUACGAGUAGGGCUACACACGUGCUACAAUGGUACGUACAGAGGGAGGCAAGCUGGCGACAGUGAGCGGAUCUCUUAAAGCGUAUCGUAGUCCGGAUCGCAGUCUGCAACUCGACUGCGUGAAGUCGGAAUCGCUAGUAAUCGCAAAUCAGAAUGUUGCGGUGAAUACGUUCCCGGGCCUUGUACACACCGCCCGUCACACCAUGGGAGUGGGUUGCAAAAGAAGUAGGUAGCUUAACCGCAAGGAGGGCGCUUACCACUUUGUGAUUCAUGACUGGGGUGAAGUCGUAACAAGGUAACCCUAGGGGAACCUGGGGUUGGAUCACCUCCUUACCUAAAGCAG
rnacentral:rRNA from 1 species